CCCGCACAAGCGGAGGAACAUGUGGUUAAUUCGAUGAUACGCGAGGAACCUUACCUGGGCUUAAAUGGGGAGUGACAGCUGGCGAAAGUUGGUUUUCUUCGGACACUCUUCAAGGUGCUGCAUGGUUGUCGUCAGCUCGUGCCGUGAGGUGUCGGGUUAAGUCCCAUAACGAGCGCAACCCUUACUGUUAGUUGCCAGCGGGUCAAGCCGGGAACCCUAACGGGACUGCCACCGUAAGGUGAGAGGAAGGUGGGGAUGACGUCAAAUCAGCACGGCCCUUAUGUCCAGGGCUACACACGUGUUACAAUGGUCGGUACAAAGGGCAGCUACACCGCGAGGUGAUGCUAAUCUCUAAAGCCGGUCUCAGUUCGGAUCGAAGUCUGCAACCCGACUUCGUGAAGUUGGAUUCGCUAGUAAUCGCGCAUCAGCCAUGGCGCGGUGAAUACGUUCCCGGGCCUU
rnacentral:rRNA from 1 species